UAGAUGGUAGUAUAAUGGAGUGCUAGAGGUUUUGAGCCUCUAAGUGCGGGUUCGAGUCCUGUCCUUCUAAG
rnacentral:tRNA from 1 species